rnacentral:rRNA from 1 species
UACGUAGGGCGCAAGCGUUGUCCGGAAUUAUUGGGCGUAAAGAGCUCGUAGGCGGCCAGUUGCGUCUGCUGUGAAAUCCCGGGGCUCAACCCCGGGCGUGCAGUGGAUACGGGCUGGCUAGAGGCAGGCAGGGGAGAACGGAAUUCCCGGUGUAGCGGUGAAAUGCGUAGAUAUCGGAAGGAACACCUGUGGCGAAAGCGGCUCACUGGACCAUUACUGACGCUGAGGCACGAAAGCUAGGGAGCGAAACAGGA